GCCUCCAUAGCACAGUGGCAGUGUGUUCGCUUCGUAAGUAAAAGGUUGUGAGUUCAAUCUUCACAAGAGGCU
rnacentral:tRNA from 1 species